rnacentral:rRNA from 1 species
GGGUUGUGAGGUUAAGCGACUAAGCGUACACGGUGGAUGCCCUGGCAGUCAGAGGCGAUGAAGGACGUGCUAAUCUGCGAUAAGCGUCGGUAAGGUGAUAUGAACCGUUAUAACCGGCGAUUUCCGAAUGGGGAAACCCAGUGUGAUUCGUCACACUAUCAUUAACUGAAUCCAUAGGUUAAUGAGGCGAACCGGGGGAACUGAAACAUCUAAGUACCCCGAGGAAAAGAAAUCAACCGAGAUUCCCCCAGUAGCGGCGAGCGAACGGGGAGCAGCCCAGAGCCUGAAUCAGUGUGUGUGUUAGUGGAAGCGUCUGGAAAGGCGCGCGAUACAGGGUGACAGCCCCGUACACAAAAAUGCACAUACUGUGAGCUCGAUGAGUAGGGCGGGACACGUGGUAUCCUGUCUGAAUAUGGGGGGACCAUCCUCCAAGGCUAAAUACUCCUGACUGACCGAUAGUGAACCAGUACCGUGAGGGAAAGGCGAAAAGAACCCCGGCGAGGGGAGUGAAAAAGAACCUGAAACCGUGUACGUACAAGCAGUGGGAGCACAGAGCAAUCUGUGUGACUGCGUACCUUUUGUAUAAUGGGUCAGCGACUUAUAUUCUGUAGCAAGGUUAACCGAAUAGGGGAGCCGAAGGGAAACCGAGUCUUAACUGGGCGUUAAGUUGCAGGGUAUAGACCCGAAACCCGGUGAUCUAGCCAUGGGCAGGUUGAAGGUUGGGUAACACUAACUGGAGGACCGAACCGACUAAUGUUGAAAAAUUAGCGGAUGACUUGUGGCUGGGGGUGAAAGGCCAAUCAAACCGGGAGAUAGCUGGUUCUCCCCGAAAGCUAUUUAGGUAGCGCCUCGUGAAUUCAUCUCCGGGGGUAGAGCACUGUUUCGGCAAGGGGGUCAUCCCGACUUACCAACCCGAUGCAAACUGCGAAUACCGGAGAAUGUUAUCACGGGAGACACACGGCGGGUGCUAACGUCCGUCGUGAAGAGGGAAACAACCCAGACCGCCAGCUAAGGUCCCAAAGUCAUGGUUAAGUGGGAAACGAUGUGGGAAGGCCCAGACAGCCAGGAUGUUGGCUUAGAAGCAGCCAUCAUUUAAAGAAAGCGUAAUAGCUCACUGGUCGAGUCGGCCUGCGCGGAAGAUGUAACGGGGCUAAACCAUGCACCGAAGCUGCGGCAGCGACACUAUGUGUUGUUGGGUAGGGGAGCGUUCUGUAAGCCUGUGAAGGUGUACUGUGAGGUAUGCUGGAGGUAUCAGAAGUGCGAAUGCUGACAUAAGUAACGAUAAAGCGGGUGAAAAGCCCGCUCGCCGGAAGACCAAGGGUUCCUGUCCAACGUUAAUCGGGGCAGGGUGAGUCGACCCCUAAGGCGAGGCCGAAAGGCGUAGUCGAUGGGAAACAGGUUAAUAUUCCUGUACUUGGUGUUACUGCGAAGGGGGGACGGAGAAGGCUAUGUUGGCCGGGCGACGGUUGUCCCGGUUUAAGCGUGUAGGCUGGUUUUCCAGGCAAAUCCGGAAAAUCAAGGCUGAGGCGUGAUGACGAGGCACUACGGUGCUGAAGCAACAAAUGCCCUGCUUCCAGGAAAAGCCUCUAAGCAUCAGGUAACAUCAAAUCGUACCCCAAACCGACACAGGUGGUCAGGUAGAGAAUACCAAGGCGCUUGAGAGAACUCGGGUGAAGGAACUAGGCAAAAUGGUGCCGUAACUUCGGGAGAAGGCACGCUGAUAUGUAGGUGAAGCGACUUGCUCGUGGAGCUGAAAUCAGUCGAAGAUACCAGCUGGCUGCAACUGUUUAUUAAAAACACAGCACUGUGCAAACACGAAAGUGGACGUAUACGGUGUGACGCCUGCCCGGUGCCGGAAGGUUAAUUGAUGGGGUUAGCGGUAACGCGAAGCUCUUGAUCGAAGCCCCGGUAAACGGCGGCCGUAACUAUAACGGUCCUAAGGUAGCGAAAUUCCUUGUCGGGUAAGUUCCGACCUGCACGAAUGGCGUAAUGAUGGCCAGGCUGUCUCCACCCGAGACUCAGUGAAAUUGAACUCGCUGUGAAGAUGCAGUGUACCCGCGGCAAGACGGAAAGACCCCGUGAACCUUUACUAUAGCUUGACACUGAACAUUGAGCCUUGAUGUGUAGGAUAGGUGGGAGGCUUAGAAGUGUGGACGCCAGUCUGCAUGGAGCCGACCUUGAAAUACCACCCUUUAAUGUUUGAUGUUCUAACGUUGGCCCCUGAUCGGGGUUGCGGACAGUGUCUGGUGGGUAGUUUGACUGGGGCGGUCUCCUCCUAAAGAGUAACGGAGGAGCACGAAGGUUGGCUAAUCCUGGUCGGACAUCAGGAGGUUAGUGCAAUGGCAUAAGCCAGCUUGACUGCGAGCGUGACGGCGCGAGCAGGUGCGAAAGCAGGUCAUAGUGAUCCGGUGGUUCUGAAUGGAAGGGCCAUCGCUCAACGGAUAAAAGGUACUCCGGGGAUAACAGGCUGAUACCGCCCAAGAGUUCAUAUCGACGGCGGUGUUUGGCACCUCGAUGUCGGCUCAUCACAUCCUGGGGCUGAAGUAGGUCCCAAGGGUAUGGCUGUUCGCCAUUUAAAGUGGUACGCGAGCUGGGUUUAGAACGUCGUGAGACAGUUCGGUCCCUAUCUGCCGUGGGCGCUGGAGAACUGAGGGGGGCUGCUCCUAGUACGAGAGGACCGGAGUGGACGCAUCACUGGUGUUCGGGUUGUCAUGCCAAUGGCACUGCCCGGUAGCUAAAUGCGGAAGAGAUAAGUGCUGAAAGCAUCUAAGCACGAAACUUGCCCCGAGAUGAGUUCUCCCUGACUCCUUGAGAGUCCUGAAGGAACGUUGAAGACGACGACGUUGAUAGGCCGGGUGUGUAAGCGCAGCGAUGCGUUGAGCUAACCGGUACUAAUGAACCGUGAGG